rnacentral:rRNA from 1 species
GUACAAAGGUAGCAUAAUAAGUUGUUUUUUAAUUAAAGACUGGAAUGAACGAAUUGAUGAAAUUUAAACUUUCUAAAAUUUAAAAUUUAAAUUUUUUUAUUAAGUAAAAAGACUUAAAUUGAUUUAUGGGACGAGAAGACCCUAUAGAAUUUUAUAUAGUUUAUCUUAAAAUUUUAUUUAAACUAUAUUUAGUUGGGAGGACUAUUAAAACUUAAAACUUUAAUAUAUUUAAAAUAUUACUUUGAUAAAAGGAAUUUAAAAAUUAAUAAUUUAUAAUUAAUUUAAUAUUAAUUACCUUAGGGAUAACAGCAUAAUAUUUUUUUUUAGAUCAUAUAUAAAAAAUUGUUUAUGACCUCGAUGUUGAAUUAAGAUAAAAUUUGAAAGGAGAUUUUUAAAUUUUUGGU